CGGGGCGUGGCUCAGUUUGGCAGAGCGCUACCUUGGGGUGGUAGAGGUCGCAUGUUCGAAUCAUGUCGCUCCGACCA
rnacentral:tRNA from 1 species